UCUUCUCCUUCCUCUUUUUAUUCAUUUUUUUUUGUUGAAGGAGUAUGUAUUGACAUGUAUUGAAAUAUUACAAACAUAAUUCCUUUUUUUUUCUUCCUCUUAUCCUUCUAGUUUUUCAUUCCUUUUUUUUUCUUUUCAAUUUUUUUUCUUUUUCUGCCAACUUCUGAAAUAUUACAAACAUAAUUAUUCAACCCCACACAACUCCAAACAAGACUCUUUCAACCCUUUGAAUAGGGUGAUAACAUUGUUUUUCACUUCUCGGCUUGUAAUGAGUUUUAAACAAAAAAGGGAGAAUAGGCUCAAGGGGGUUUCAAACAAGGGAUGAAAUUAUUUUAGGGUUGGCUUUUUG
rnacentral:lncRNA from 1 species